UACACCCAGCCCACAUCAGACUGUCUUUGU
rnacentral:piRNA from 1 species